GAAGCUCGCAUUGGGAUAUCGGACCGGUGGUUGCUACAUAUAAACAGCCAUCAAAUCCUCCAUCAAAACGCCUUCUUUUAGCUUGUAUAUUGAUGUUUCUAGUCUGAGGUCUAUGCAUUGGACAUAUGGAGAAUAUUUUGUUGUACUCGAGGUUGUUAUUGGACUAAUAGUUCACGAAUCCAAGAAAUAAACCGAUAGCGUCGCAUCACACAUUUUUUUUAUUGCGAGUAGGCUCGAGGAGAUGCUGUUUGCGACGCCGUGGGAUUCCCGUUAUGAAGCUGUCAACAUCCGUUGAUUGUCACGAGCCAGGCCAGAGGAUGCAUGAGAGAUGAAGGCUAUCAAACACCAUGUUCUCAAGACCUUUAGGGUUGGAGCCACGAAUGGCAAGGACUAUGAAUCAGAUGGUGGAAAGACAAACUCCAGUUUGUCUCAGUCCGAUCUCAGCCUGAAUGCAGAGGAUAUGGCGAGUUACAAAUCAAACUCGCCAAGAACGGUGGACACUGCAUCAACCUCAGGUAAGGAUCUGUAAUGUGAUUGUAAGAACUUACCUGAUUGUAAAGAUUUAAACUACAUGUAUACGAGUCCCAUUGUGUUGUAAUGUAUUUGGUAUUUAAAGUAAUCUUCUGCAAAGUGCCCCAUUUAACCUUAUUUUUGUGUGUGUGUUGUCCUCUUGUGAACGAGAUUUCCAUUUCUUAAGUAUCGAUUAAGUUUUUCUUCUCCUCACUGAACACUAUUUGGAUUUGAGAAUUUCCAACAUUUUUUUAUGAUUAUUACCAGUAAAAUGGUGGAAAAAUAGGUAAUAAUAAAUGAAUCCAAUAAAUCCAUCACAGUUUUGCUUGAAUUUGUUUUUGAAUUAUGUCCUCGUGUAACUUGUUAGCAUAACAAUCUUGUAUUGGAUACUGUUGAUUUUGAAUUUGUGAACUCAAUGGUAAAAAAAACCCCAGUUGCUCCCUGCAUAAAGUAGAUGGAACUUACAGGAUGAAUUUAUUAGUCAAUAGGGGGAAUCAGUGAAUGAAUAUGGAAACAUUGCUAAUGAAAUAAAAAAAAAAUGGGGAAAUAAUAAGCCGUGCUACUUAUAAAAGAAACAAUACAUCCACAUGAAUACAUGCAUAUAGCUGCACUGUAGACUUUACCCUCAUUCGACUGUGUGCAUAAAAAGUACAGCACAAAUUUGCAAGGUAGAAGUUAUAUACAUGCAGUAUGUUUCUGAAUUCAUGUUGGCAUCAGGUACUCCCAGAUAUGUGGAUGUAAACAGAUGUUGAAUAGAUGCAUGUGCCCAAAUGUCAAAGGUCAUAGUAAUGAUUGAAGGUUACUUGUUAUCACCGUAUUCAAUGUGUUUUUACAUCUUAUUCAGUGGACUGCACCCGAGAAAAUUUAUACAUUACACCUCUAUGUACUAGUAUAGCUUCACACCAGGAGUGUUCCAUACACUCAUUAAUCAUUAAUUUAUAAUAAAUCCAGAUCAGCUGUGAAAAGUGACCAGCCGAAUAUUAGAUUUAGUUUUAAACCUUGAAGAUUUAAAUAUAAAAUAAAAUCUGAAAGAUUUGAAUUUAAAUCUUUUGAGAUUUAAAUGUUAAUCCUAAAGAUUUAAAAUAAAUCCAACAUUUGACUGGUCACUAUCAACAGCCGAUCUGGAUUUGUUUUAAAUCCUUUUUUAGAGUGGAUACAAAAAGCUGUUUAUAAACUUAGGCAUGACUAUGAGGCCGUUCUCAUUACGCUUUCUAAAACUAGUUUACUGGAAACCUAUUCAGGAAACCACUUUGGAAGAUCGCUUUGCUAGCGUUCCCACUUGAUCACCCGAAAGUGGUUUUCAAAAUCACUUCACGUAAAGCGCUCUUGUUGCUAUGGAAACGCCCUCAGUGGGGUGACACGUUUCGCGCGAAAUUUGAAACCGCAGCAUAGGCAUUCUACACCUGUCGUGUGGAGUAGCGCGCUCAAAUUGUGCGAAGAUCGCUUCCCGAAGAACGGUUGUGUCCUCACUUACGCUAAAACCAGUUUAACGAGGCAAAGCGAUCUUGAAAACUACAUCGUGAGGUGGUUUUCCAAACUGGUUUGGAAGAUCGCUUCCAAGACCGCUUUGACCGUUCUCACUACGCGUUAAACUAGUUUCCAGUAAACUAGUUUUAGGAACGUAGUGAGAACAGGCUCUAUGGGAACAACUAAUAGGAAGUGCCAAAAUGUGAGUGCUACCAUGGACCUGUUGUAGGUCCAUGGUGCUACUUUAUCUCAACUAUAUCAAUAUCUGUGAUUGAGAGUUUAAAGCUUGUCUUUAGUUUUGAUAAAUCCCUCAAAAUUUGGAUAUCACUAUUCCAUUCUGUGUAUGCCAUCAAACAGUAUGGCUGCUGACAUGAAAUGAAAAGGUUUUAAUAGGAUAAAUUUUGCAAUUUACAAUUACAUGAUUUUUUUCUUUCGAUCGAGUGCCAGAUUAGAAUGAAAUAUCUGCAUGGUUUUUCCAUAAAACCUAUUCUGGGCUGAAAAUUUCAGGAUAUUAUCUGUGUCUUAAAUUUGUAAGAUUAGUAGGCCUACUCAAAGAGACAUUUUUAAGAAAAAUAAAAGUAUGGCCUAGAGAGGUCAGUAGAAAUGUUUGAUUUGAAUAUUUUAAUAGUUCACUUCAGCAGUUGAAAAAAAGAUCAAAUGGCCACUACAAGUUAGUAGUAUUUAAUUUUGGAAAGUUAGAUGAUCUACUCAACUUGUAAAAUUCAGACUAUUGAUCCACACUAUUGACAGCCUAUGAGACACACAUUUGACUCGUUAUACUGUGAUCAUUCUUAAAGUUGAGUGAUGAUAUUUCCAAACAGUUUUUAGUUUGGUAGGUAUAAUGAAAGUUGAUGUAACAGCUGGACAUUAUCACACAUAGAUCUUUUUUCAAUUCUUUGAAGCAACCAUGGCAACUAUGCAGAGAGUGUUUUAUCAGAUGAGAAUAGACAUGUUUAUCACAUUGUAAUGAUCGAUUCCGGAUUCUUCAUUCAGACUAAAAAUAUGAAUGUCUUGAAUAAUUUGAUGAUGACACUUGACCUCAUUCUAAAUAGGGGGGGGGGGUUGCAGUUACUUUUAUUGAUCCAUGAUAGAAGAAUAUUAGAUGGUGUCAUACCUUUAGAUUAAAAUACCUUCUAACUGUAACUAAGUAAAAGUAAAACAAAGGAAUGUUUUGGGUAAGAAAUAGCAGCAUAGCAUUGAUUAAUAUUUCAAUACAAGGACAGUUUUCAAUAUAAAACUUGAAUUUCAAAGAUAUAUUAUUUGAUAACAUUGUCAAGUAGAAAGCUAGUCGAACUAAUCAAUCAGUCUCUGUCAAUUAUUGCUACAAUCAAUAGAGCAAUGUACUAUAUUAAUUAUACAAUAUUAACAAAUAUUGACUGAUUUGAGGUGCAUAGUCAAAACUGUUAUCUGUGCAUAGUCAAGGGUGAUAGGCCCUUCAUAGUGCAUGACAGAUCAAAUGGACUCAUGUUUGAAGCUUCUUGGAAGUAAAAUUGAUAUCAAUUCCAAGAAGCUUCCAACAGAAGCUCCUGAUUAAUUGAAAAGUGGUAUGAAGAUCGGGCGUACAAUCCGUACAUGUAUGUACAUUUUAUCUGGUGUUCGUACUUUGCACUAUUUAUUUUAAUUGCUUGCUUGAUAUUUAUUUCAUCAUACUUCUCAGUUAGUAGCAUUGAAUUAUUUUGCUUGCAGCUGUAAGCAAAAAAGGUCAUAAUUUCUUCUGUACAAUGAAACAGUUACAUGUACUGUAGAUGUAUCAUCAGCAUUGGAACAAAAUUGAAGGGGAAUUCACCAUUGAAUGAAUAGAAAACAUGCUGUAUGGAAUUGAAAAUCCAUGUUAUGCUCAAUGCAAUCUUAUUUGCAAUCAAAACCUCUUUCAAUUAUUGUAAAAAAUAAUCAAUCAAUAGUUACAACAGUAUGUAUUUCAAGACUGAAAUAUUUCAACCAUGGAGCUAUUAACACCAUGUUCAAACCAAAGAAGUGUGGUUGCACCACGAGUAGAAAAGGGCAAGAGUUCAGGUGCUAUUGUAAUUCCUCUCUUACAUUAAAGAUCCAGACCGGACCCGAAAAUGAAAUUGAUAAAUUAUAUACCAAUCGAAAGCUUAUAAGCUACUAAAUACAGCAAGGUAUGCUUUAUGCAUUUUCACCGCUUCCCAGCUGAGUAUUUUGCUUGUGAAUAUUCCAAUUAUCGGGCUUCGAACCCCGCUUAGAAAAUAGGCUUUAUUGUGCUUUUCACCUGCCUCGAGACCGUGACGUCACGUUGUGUAAGAAGCGUCGUGAUUCCAUAGGUUUGUACACAGAAAAACUGGGUGAUUUUUUGCUUUCCAGAUAACGCAUUUCAUUCUCUUCACUUCUAUCACAGAGGGAUAUCACAUAUAUUUUUACCCACAAGCUUGAAUUUAUGAAAUCUACAGUUUUGAACUAGUUUUUGCCAUAUUUUAUUUCCUGCUUAUUUGGCGCAGAUUUCAAUUCUAUCUGCAUUUAGAUUAUGUAUAACAACUUUUCCUGACAUAGCAAUUUAGGCCCAAUAAGAGCCAAACAAAGAAAUCACAAAAAAGGUAGUGAAUAGUUGUAGGUUUACAACAAUUCGAACAGUGAAUAAUUUUGAGUGCCAUUUUCAUCUGAAAACGAAAAAAAAAAAUGGAUUCAUAACAUGGAAAUGGAAGAAAAUACCCAAUGCUUUUGUACACAAACCUAUGGAAUCACAACCCUCCUGACACAACGUGACGUCAUCAUUUCCAGGCGACGUGGGGGUGCUCAAUCGAAGCGUACUUUGGAGGAGCAGUUUCUUUGAUUUUUGUCUCACCUGCAUAGCAGAGUGAGACUAUAGGCGCCGCUUUUCCGACGGCGACGGCGACGGCGGCGGCGGCGGCGGCGGCGGCGACGGCGACGGCGGCGUCAACACCAAAUCUUAACCUGAGGUUAAGUUUUUGAAAUGACAGCAUAACUUAGAAAGUAUAUGGACCUAGUUCAUGAAACUUGGCCAUAAGGUUAAUCAAGUAUUACUGAACAUCCUGCCUGAGUUUCAUGUCACAUGACCAAGGUCAAAGGUCAUUUAGGGUCAAUGAACUUAGACCAUGUUGGGGGAAUCAACAUCAAAAUCUUAACCUAAGGUUAAGUUUUUGAAAUGUCAUCAUAACUUAGAAAAUAUAUGGACCUAGUUCAUGAAACUUAUACAUAAGGUUAAUCAAGUAUCACUGAACAUCCUGCAUGAGUUUCACGUCACAUGACCAAGGUCAAAGGUCAUUUAGGGUCAAUGAACUUUGGCCGAAUUGGGGGUAUCUGUUGAAUUACCAUCAUAACUUUGAAAGUUUAUGGAUCUGAUUCAUGAAACUUGGACAUAAUAGUAAUCAAGUAUUACUGAACAUCCUGUGCAAGUUUCAGGUCACAUGAUCAAGGUCAAAGGUCAUUUAGGGUCAAUGAACUUUGGCCAAAUUGGGGUAUUUGUUGAAUUACAGCCAUAAAUUUGAAAGUGUGUUGGUCUAGUUCAUAAAACUUGGACAUAAUAGUAAUCAAGUAUCACUGAACAUCCUGUGCGAGUUUCAGGUCACAUGAUCAAGGUCAAAGGUCAUGUAAGGUCAAAGAACAUUGGCCACGUUGGGGGUAUUUGUUGAAUUGUCAUCAUAUCUCUAUAAGUGUAUUGGUCUAGUUCAUAAAACGUGGAAAUAAGAGUAACCAAGUAUCACUGAACAUCUUGUGCGAGUUAUAGUAGUUUUCAAAAUCAGCACUGCUGCUAUAUUGAAUCGCGUGAUGCAGGUGAGACGGCCAGAGGCAUUCCACUUGUUAUUUAAUAUUUGUCAGAAAUGGAAGGAGAUAUAUGUAAUAUUUUUGGUAUAUUUGUAUUGUAUGAAUCAUUACCUUUAUUUUGAUAUAUGACUGUUUUUACACCGGUCAGGGUCUUUAAAACUUGUAAUGGUAUAUUAUCAUCUUUGUGUCAGCAGAUUUAGAUGGUAGAUUUCACUGUGAAGUAAGACAGAGUCAGAGAUAUGUUUCAUUAUGAAUUUCUAGCAGUGUCUUGAUAUACACAUGUGUAAACAUUCUAUUUGAAGAAAUCAAUUUUCAACCAUUCUGCUGCCAUUACUAACUAUUCUGCAGAUGCGCGUACAUUCCGUACAUGCUAAUUUUCACUCAUUUCUAUGAAAACCAAUGAUCAAAGUACAUUUCAAUUUGCUGUUGCACAAACCUGAGAACACUUGGUUCAUAAAUGUGCAACAUAAAGC